GGAUGAAAAUUUCUAAUAGAUAAUUUGAAGCUCUAACUUUUUUGCUUCUUUGAAUCUCCAGUGGGCAGUGACAACAAGUGGCAUGAGGAUUGUUUGUACAAGACAUUUUACUUUUUAAAUUGAUGAGCUCGUUCAAUUGUUUUAUUGAAGACUAAAUUUGCUGAAAGGUUCAUAGUUGGAAUCUAAAACAGGUUUAGGAUUAAAUAAGUGCAACAGAUCAAAUUUACUUGAACAUUAUUUCUUUGAUUUUUAACAAAAUAGUAUCUCUUGUUUUCAAGAUUUUGUAAAAACAAAAGUUGAAAUCAUUAAAUCUGUUUUUAUUAUGCUUUUCUAAAUCUUGUAAAAGUAAGAAACAUUAAGAAGAAAUCAAGGGAUGAUAACAGAAAGCAAAUCAUUUACUUUCAUACGUACAUGGAGGGUAGCUACAUGAAUAUUUAUUUGUGUGUAGAUGGUGAUAUAUUCUUUUUUUGUGUGUAGAUGGUGAUAUCAAGAUUUGUUCACAGCAAGGGAAGGGUAUUGCAAGUUGAAUUCAUUGGCUAAGGUUUAAAGAACAUGCAAUAUUGUAGUGAAAUAUUCAUCAGAAAGUUCCUUGGCAGGGAUUGGAUCAAGAGAGUGACAUUCCAUCACCAAGAGAGUUAAGAAGUAGGUCUUUUGGAGCGAGCAACAAAGAAGCAUGAUCUUGUAUGAUAAAGAUUUUAUGUAUUAAGUAUUAUUUUUGAAAUUAUUGAAAAAUGUUAUCUUUGAUAUUUUUGUUUUUGGAUUAUGAUUUUUUAUUUUCAGAGACUGUAUGAAUUAAAAAUCUUGUUAUGAUGUUUGAUUUAAGGUUA